GACGAACGCUGGCGGCGUGCUUAACACAUGCAGGUCGAACGGAAAGGCCCUGCUUUUGUGGGGUGCUCGAGUGGCGAACGGGUGAGUAACACGUGAGUAACCUGCCCUUGACUUUGGGAUAACUUCAGGGAACUGGGGCUAAUACCGGAUAGGAGCUCCUGCUGCAUGGUGGGGGUUGGAAAGUUUCGGCGGUUGGGGAUGGACUCGCGGCUUAUCAGCUUGUUGGUGGGGUAGUGGCUUACCAAGGCUUUGACGGGUAGCCGGCCUGAGAGGGUGACCGGCCACAUUGGGACUGAGAUACGGCCCAGACUCCUACGGGAGGCAGCAGUGGGGAAUAUUGCACAAUGGGCGGAAGCCUGAUGCAGCAACGCCGCGUGCGGGAUGACGGCCUUCGGGUUGUAAACCGCUUUCGCCUGUGACGAAGCGUGAGUGACGGUAAUGGGUAAAGAAGCACCGGCUAACUACGUG
rnacentral:rRNA from 1 species